GGUUGGAUCAUUACUAAUGGGUUUUUACCUAUACACUGUGUGAACUGUUUUUGUAUUUGGUGACUCUUCAGCCUCUUGAGGUUUGAGGACCACCGCUAUUUUUGAACCCCAUUUUAUUGAGUCUUGAUUUUCUGUUUUAAUAAGAAACAACUUUUGACAACGGAUCUCUUGGCUCUCGCAACGAUGAAGAACGCAGCGAAAUGCGAUACGUAAUGUGAAUUGCAGAAUUCAGUGAAUCAUCGAAUCUUUGAACGCAUAUUGCGCUCUCUGGUAUUCCGGAGAGCAUGCCUGUUUGAGUACCUAUUAAUUCUCAAUCACUAGCUGAUUGGAACUGAGUCGUGUUUUUGUAAAGGAACUGACUUUAAAGGAAUGUCCAGAGGUGGUUCAACAUCCUUCCUAGGAACAGUAAUUGAAUGAGUUUUCUCAGCCUUUUCCAAGUACUAGUGUUUGAUGGUGGACCUUCAGCUUUUGGCUAACUAUUGAAUCUUACGAUUCAGAACCAUGGUCUCAAAUCAGGUAGGAAGACCCGCUGAACUUAAGCAUAUCAAUAAGCGGAGGAAAAGAAACUAACAAGGAUUCCCCUAGUAACGGCGAGUGAAGCGGGAAUAGCUCAAAUUUGAAAUCUCACAGGUUUCCUGUGCGAAUUGUAGUUUAGAGAGUCGUUUUCGGGGGCCGCUUGAGCACAAGUCCUUUGGAACAGGGCAUCAUAGAGGGUGAGAAUCCCGUCUUUGGUUCAAGAUGAGCUCCUAUGUGAUACGAUUUCAAAGAGUCGGUUUGUUUGGGAAUGCAGACCAAAAUGGGUGGUAAAUACCAUCUAAGGCUAAAUAUUGGCGAGAGACCGAUAGCGAACAAGUACCGUGAGGGAAAGAUGAAAAGAACUUUGAAAAGAGAGUUAAAUAGUACGUGAAAUUGUCAAAAGGGAAACGCUUGAAACCAGUAUUGCUUUUGGGAAAUCAGCUGCUCUUUGGGCGGUGCACUUUUCCAAUAGCAGGUCAACAUCGAUUUGACUUGGGGUAAAAAGCGCUAGGAAUGUAGCCCUUCGGGGUGUUAUAGACUGGUGUGCUGCCUUGGGUUGGAUCGAGGAAUGCAGUACUCUUGGGGGUCUAGUCGCCUUUGAAAGCAUCGGGGUAGACAGCGUGCUGAUUACUCUGAAUGUCUAGAAGAACGGUUAGUUUUCCUACACUAGUACUUGGGAUGUUGACGAAAUGGUUUUAAACGACCCGUCUUGAAACACGGACCAAGGAGUCUAACAUGUAUGCGAGUAUUUGGGUGGCAAACCCUUAUGCGUAAUGAAAGUGAAAAUGGUGGGAUAUUUGCACCAUCGACCGGCCUGGAUUUUUUUGAAAGGUCUGAGUAAGAGCAUAUAUGCUGGGACCCGAAAGAUGGUGAACUAUGCCUGAAUAGGGUGAAGCCAGAGGAAACUCUGGUGGAGGCUCGUAGCGAUUCUGACGUGCAAAUCGAUCGUCAAAUUUGGGUAUAGGGGCGAAAGACUAAUCGAACCAUCUAGUAGCUGGUUCCCUC
rnacentral:misc_RNA from 1 species